AAGAUCAUUGUUAGGACGCCAUC
rnacentral:miRNA from 1 species